rnacentral:rRNA from 1 species
GUCUACAGCCAUACCACCCUGAAUGUGCCGAUCUUGUCUGAUCUCAGAAGCUAAGCAGGGUCGGGCCUGGUUAAUACUUCGAUGGGAGACCACCUGGGAAUACUGGGUGCUGUAGGCU